CCUAAAGGGAAACGCAGAAUCUCCGCCUCUCUAUACACAGACAAAGCUGUUAGAGUAGGGCAACAGUACCUGACAUUAACUCGAUGGCUCAAACCAAUCCAAGCAGAAAAGUUCACGACUGGUCGAGUCUUCAUCAAGAUAUUGUCGACUCGAUCGCCAAACGAAUAGUCUCUCGGGCAGAUUUGAUUGCUUUUGCCGCAGUUUGUAAAGCAUGGAGAUCAGCCGCCAUCAAAGAAUACUUUACCAGCCGAUCAACACUGAAAUCUCCAGUGCUGAUGAUCCAAGCCAAGAACAAGGAGAAGGGCACUCUCACCCCUGAAUUCUACAACAGCUCAAAGAGUACAUGGUCAAAGGGUACGUUUCACAAACUUGGUCUGCUAGCACCCAAGAAAACAAAGCAGUCUUUUUAUUCUUCUCUAGGCUGGCUGGUGGCUGUGUCUGAGGAUUUGAAGGUUGAUCUGCUGCACCCUUUAAGCCAUGCCCAGAUUGAACUUCCAGAUAUUAACAAAGUCAGAAACCAUCACCAGCAACAGAGCUUUUCCGGCGUGCCGUACGAGUUCAUAGCUAGUAAGUUUGUCUUGUCAUCAAGCCCUUCUUGGACGUGUGAUUAUAUAGUGACUGUCAUUUAUAGGAUUUUGGGAGGCUGGGGAUUUUGGAGACCAGGAGAAGAUGAAUGGACCAGUGUGGGAAGGGAUAUAAUGGAUCUUGCUUAUUAUAAAGGGCAGUUUUAUGCUGUGGACUUUGAUGGGAAUAUAAUGGUUUGUGAGAUUGCAGAGCCUGAGCAACCAAAAAUGAGGAUUGUUGUUCCGAAAGUGCCAAUGGAACCCAUGUGUGCUUCUGUUGAUCAAAGCCUUUAUCUGGUGGAAUCACAGGGGGCCUUGUUGGUGGUUCUGCGUCUUAGGCAAUGGUUCAGUUCGACAACUGAGUUUAGGGUUUUCAGUGUGCCAUUGGAGGGUUGUGGCAAGUGCUGGUGCCAUUGGUCGGAUUUGCAGGUAAAGAACUUGGGUGACAGUACCCUAUUUCUGGGACGCCAUAAUUCUUCAUUCUCUAUCGAAUGCAAGAAUAACAAGAACUUUGUAGGUUUGGGGAAUAGCAUUUGCUUCACGGUUGAUUUUUGUGAGUGUCUUGCACUUACCAAUGGAGAUAUGGACGCCAGUUAUUUUGUUUUCAAGAUGACAGACGGGAAAAUCAAGCCUUGCUUGGGCAAACGCCUCAAUUUAAGAGCGCCAUAUUUAUGGAUUCAAGCACCAUUUUAAAGCCUUAGGUGAUUGUUGUUUUUUAAAAUCUCAUCUUUGGAUAAUCAAGCCAUGUUGGGUAAAAUUGGUUGGAGAUUACAUGCUAAAGAUAAGGGUUUGUGGGCUAAAUUUUUUGAGGAUAAGUAUCUGAAAGGCUGCUCUACUUUGGAUAAUUAUCUGGAGGUUAGGAAGGAUUGUUCUGCCACUUAGAAGGGAAUUUUACAUGGCUCUAAGCGUCUUUUGCAGGGGAUGACUUGGAGAAUUGGUAUGGGGAAUAAGGUGAAGUUUUGGACUGAUAAAUGGUUGUCUGAUGUGCCUUUGAUACAUUAUGAGGGGGUGGGGGAGUUGUUGGACCUUGAUGGUCCUGUGUCAAGUUUCUUUAAGCAGGGAUGGUGGGAUAUUAAGAAGCUGAGAGCUACUGUGCCUGAAGAGGUGGUGCAAAAAGUUAUUAGUUUCUCUUCUGGGUUUAAUAGUAAUUUGGAGGAUUCCCAGAUUUGGAAGCCUAAUGCCAAUGGGAUUUUUACCGUAAAAUCUGCUUAUCAAUUGCUUUUUGGAGAUUCUUCUUGGACUGAUGCUUUUUGGAAGGCUUUGUGGCAGUUGAAACUUCCCCCCAAGUUGUAAGUUUUUAUCUGGCUUGCGUACCAGGAUAAAAUUAUUUCUAAUGAUCAGAGAGUUCGGAGGCAUUUAUCUAUGGAUUCUUCUUGUUCUUUAAAUGAUUGGCCUUCUGAAGCUGCUGUCCUUAUUCUCAGAGAUUGUAGUAAAGCCAAAGAGGUUUGGAGCUAUUUUUUGCAUCACAGUCAACACACUCAUUUCUUCUCUGCUGAUUUUUAGCAUUGUCUUAAGAAUAAUAUAUUCUCCAAGGCUCGUUGGUCUGGGAGCAUAUCUUGGAGUUCUGUAUUGUGUUUAUUUGUUGGUAUUUGUGGAAAUGGAGAAACCAAUAUAUUUUUAAUGCUGAGGAGGUUGUUCCUUCUAAUCCUAGGCAGAUUAUUCUCUCUGCUGUUUCUGAGUGGAGCAAGGCUUCUUGUGGUUGUAGGGCAGUUGGGGAGAAAGUGCAAUCUCUUUUGGCUUGGGAUUUUCCUGGGACUGCAGUGGUCAACUUAAUGUGGAUGGGUCACAUAAAGCGGCUUUUGGAAAUAUUGGUGCUGGAGGCGUUCUUCGUAAUAGCAAUGGGGAAUGGCUUGGGGGAUUUGCUGUGAAUCUGGGGAAGGGUCAAACAUCUCCUUGCUGGUCUGCUGUGUAACUGCUGUGAUUUUCUUAGGCAUUUUGACACUUACAAGAUUCACCAUAUUUUCAGAGAGAAGAAUUGCCUUGCUGACUGCCUAGCAAACUGGACUUUCAAUCUGGAUUUAGGUAUUUGUUUCUUUGACACUGCUCCUGUUUGGGCUACUGAAGCCUUGUUUGAUGAUUUGUUAGGCGUUUCUCAUGCUCGUUUGAUUGGUAUUAUAAGAGUGUAGCUGUUUUGGGGUCUUCCCCCUAUUUCAUUUAUAAAAAAAUCUCAUCUUUGGAUCAAAUUAUUUCAUGUUGCCUAUUUCUUGAGUAGUGG
rnacentral:lncRNA from 1 species